rnacentral:lncRNA from 1 species
UUGAAAAAAUUUAAAUGUUUAUUCACUUAUAAACAUAACUUCAAAAUACAUAAAGCAAAAAAGUAACAGAAUUCACCUCAUACCCAUUAGGAUCACUACUAUCAAAAAAAAGAAAAGUUCUGGAAAGGAUAUGGAGAAAUAGGAACACUUGUGCACUGUUGGUGGGAAUGUAAAAUAGUGUUGCUACUAUGGAAAACAGAAUGGUGAUUCCUCAAAAAAUUAAACAUAGAAUUCUUAUAUAAUCUAUCAAUUCCACUUCUCGGCAUACACCCAAAAGAGGUCAAAGCAGUGUCUCAGAAAUAUUUGUACAUCCAUGUUCAUUGCAGCAUUAUUCGCAAUAGCCAAAAGCUGGAAGCAACUCAAGUGUCCAUCAACAGAUGAAUGGAUAAACAAAAUGUGGAAUGUACAUACAAUGGAAAAAGGAAGGAAAUUCUGACACAUGCUACAAUAUAGAUGAACCUUGCAUACAUCAUGCUAAGUGAAAUAAGUCAGUCACAAAAAGACAAACAUUGUGAUUCCACUUUUAUGAGGUACUUAGAGGAGUCAAACUAUAGAGACAGAAAGUAGAAUGGUGGUUGCCAGGGGCUGGAGGAGGGGGAAAUUGGGAGUUAUUGUUCAAUAGGUGUAGUUUCAGUUUUGCAAGAUGAAAAGAGUUCUAGAGAUUGGUUGCACAACAAUGUGAACAUACUUGACACAACUGAACAGUACAUUUAAAAAUAGUUAAGAUGGGAAACUUUAUAUUAUGUAUAUUUUACCACAAUGAAAUUUAAAAAUUUUUUUAUAAACAACAGAAUUAAAAGAAGAAAUAGAAAACUCCACAGUGAAAUCUCUCUUCCGUUAAUUAUCUAUUGCUGCAUAAAAAAUUGCCCCAAGAUAUAGCUUAGUUGCUUGAAACAGUAACAUUGAUCAUCUCAGUUCUCAUAAAUCUUGGUGUGGCUUAGUUGGGUCCUCUGACUCACGGGGCAAUCUUAUCUGAAGGUUAACUUGAGGGAGAAUCUGUUUCCAAUAUGUUUGAUGGCAGGAUUCAGUUCCUCACAGGCUGUUGGACUUGGGGUCUCAGUUCCUCUCUGAUUGUUGGCCAGAAGACUUUUUCAGUUCCUUGCCACAAGGACCCCUCUGGAGGGCAGCUCACCACAAAGCAGCUGACUUCCAUCAGAGCGAGCAAGCAAGAAAGCAACAGAGGGCAAGGGUCUUUUUGUAAUGUAAUCUUGGAAAUGACAUCCUACCACCUUUGCCGUACUGUAUUCAUUAGAGGCAAGUCACUAGGUCCAGUCCGCAAUGAAGGAGAGAGGAUUACAGAGGGUCAAGAAUACCAGGAGAUGGGGAUCAUUGAGAGCCAUCUGAGAACCUGCUGACAACAUUCUUCAAUCACUG